AAAUGCCAACUAAUAUGGAAAUUAAAUAAACCAGAUAGAAAAGGUUGGACCAUUAAUCAUCAAUUGGAAAUAAAAAACUGUGCAAAAACGAAGAGAUAUAUAAAAUGCAAUCGAGUAUCAAAGACUUGCAAGCCCAAGAAAAUACAAACCCGUAAAGGAACGUUUGACAUAAGUUAUAACAGGAUAAAAAUGUUAAAUUAAACAAAAUGCUAGUGCUUAAAAAAAUCACUGAAAUUCAAUGACCGGAAAUGUACGAUCAAUUAUAGGGUUCAGCUCUAAGAAGAGAACCUUUUCUGGUUCGGAAUGAUGAUAAUAAUAUCCUUUGAUUUUCCCAGUGCUUUGUGAAAAUGAAAUAUAGUAAAAACCUUCAUAACUGAUUCCAAAAGGAAAGCUUUGGUUGUGAUUUUGAUAAUCGACUGUUUUAUCAAGCAUCGCAAGCUCUUUCCAACGCAUGUAAACUGUUUCACGACUUAACGGAUCAUAUGGUUGUAUUAGUCGAAGUGGAAUAUCUUUACCAUUACUUUUAAGGGCUCCUAGGCGUUUCCAGUGCCUGUUAUCAAUUUCCUCAGAAGCUCCCCAUUCAGGCCAUUUGGUUUCAAAAGUGAAUCUAUUGCCGAUUAUUUCCGCUUCGAAGUAAGUAGUCAAGGAGGUGUUAUUCGGACUUGUAUAACUUACGUGAAUAAACCCACAUAACAUCGAUUUAGCAAGAUUGACAUGUAAUAUUGUAACAUGGACUUCCAAAGUUGAGCUGCUUACACCCUUCUGUUUUCCUUGAAAUUUUGCACCAUUUCUAAGAAAUGAACAUCCUUUCAUGUUCUUAAGAUGUGCCAAAUACUUUAAUUAGAAGAUAAACCUAACGGAACUGUAGUUUAUUGUCGCUUUUCAGCUAUGGAUGCGAUUGUUGAGGUUUUCUUAGAGAAUAUCCGUUUAUUAGAUAAUA